rnacentral:rRNA from 1 species
UACGAAGGGGGCUAGCGUUGUUCGGAAUUACUGGGCGUAAAGUGUGCGCAGGCGGCGUCGCAAGUCGAGUGUGAAAGCCCCGAGCUUAACUUGGGAAUUGCGCUCGAAACUACGAUGCUGGAGUGUGGCAGAGGAAGGUGGAAUUCCACGUGUAGCGGUGAAAUGCGUAGAGAUGUGGAGGAACACCGAUGGCGAAGGCAGCCUUCUGGGCCAACACUGACGCUCAUGCACGAAAGCGUGGGGAGCAAACAGG